GCGGUUUUAGCUCAGUUGGUAGAGUGCUUGCAUGACAUGCAAGUGGUCACAGGUUCAAGUCCUGUAAACCGCACCA
rnacentral:tRNA from 1 species